rnacentral:rRNA from 1 species
CGCCGUUCUAGGAAGUCGCCACGUCCUCUAAUUCCCAAGGUAUUAGCUAAGGCGCGGACAACGACAGGGGUCAAAGGUCUUGAUACGUCUUGUCUUUGUACUCGUUACUUUCCUACAGUAACAAUUGUAGAAGUGUACGCACGUUUCCACGUACGGUUCCUCAAACGGCGGCGGCUACGCAUCAGGCCUCUGUCAGCACAGUCACACCCGCUGCCGCAGACUUUCUAACUUCUCUUUCGUACGUGGACACAACCGCUCCUCCGGCAGCAGCACCUACAGCGCCCGCAGCAGCCGCAGAAGACAGCCGCAGCCACGCCCGCAGGAGCCGCGCCCGCAAAGCCACCUCCCGUUGAGACUUCUCGAUGUCCUCCUAACCAGCGGCAAUUAAAACUUCGCCUACACCGACAAAGCC